rnacentral:rRNA from 1 species
GAUGAACGCUAGCGGCAGGCCUAAUACAUGCAAGUCGGACGGGAUUCAGGAGCUUGCUUCUGAUGAGAGUGGCGCACGGGUGCGUAACACGUAUGUAACCUACCUUUAUCAGGGGGAUAGCCUCUCGAAAGAGAGAUUAAGCCCGCAUAAAAUCACAGCACAGCAUUGUGUAAUGAUCAAAUAUUUAUAGGAUAAAGAUGGGCAUGCGGAACAUUAGCUAGAUGGCGGGGUAACGGCCCACCAUGGCGACGAUGUUUAGGGGAUCUGAGAGGAUGGCCCCCCACACUGGUACUGAGACACGGACCAGACUCCUACGGGAGGCAGCAGUAAGGAAUAUUGGUCAAUGGGCGGAGGCCUGAACCAGCCAUGCCGCGUGCAGGAAGACGGCCCUACGGGUUGUAAACUGCUUUUAUACGGGAAUAAACCCAGAUACGUGUAUCUGGCUGAAUGUACUGUAAGAAUAAGGAUCGGCUAACUCCGUG